AGAGUUUGAUUCUGGCUCAGAACGAACGCUGGCAGCGUGGAUUAGGCAUGCAAGUCGAACGGGAAACCGCGGAUUCAAUCUUCGGAAAGAAUUCGUGGUGGAUAGUGGCGGAAGGGUGAGUAACGCGUGGGCAAUCUGCUCUUAAGUUGGGGAUAACUCCGCGAAAGCGGGGCUAAUACCGAAUGGGGUCCUCCGGCGCAUGUCGGGGUGACUAAAGGUGGGGAUCCUUCGGGACCUGCCGCUUAGGGAGGAGCCCGCGUCCCAUCAGCUUGUUGGUGAGGUAAUGGCUCACCAAGGCAUACGGGUAGCUGGUCUGAGAGGAUGGUCAGCCACACUGGGACUGAGACACUGCCCAGACUCCUACGGGAGGCUGCAGUCGAGGAUCAUUCGCAAUGCGCGAAAGCGCGACGAUGCGACGCUGCGUGGAGGAUGAAGGCCUUCGGGUUGUAAACUCCUGUCAUGAGGGAAAAGACGCCCUAUCUCUAAUAUAGUUGGGGCCCGAUGGUACCUCAAGAGGAAGCCACGGCUAACUCUGUGCCAGCAGCCGCGGUAAUACAGAGGUGGCGAGCGUUGUUCGGAUUUACUGGGCGUAAAGGGUGCGUAGGUGGCUUCGUGUGUCGGAUGUGAAAGCCUACAGCUCAACUGUGGAAUUGCAUUCGAAACUGCGGAGCUAGAGUACAGGAGAGGAGAGCGGAAUUCUUGGUGUAGCGGUGAAAUGCGUUGAUAUCAAGAAGAACACCGGUGGCGAAGGCGGCUCUCUGGAAUGUUACUGACACUGAGGCACGAAAGCUGGGGGAGCAAACAGGAUUAGAUACCCUGUAGUCCCAGCUGUAAACGGUGUGCACUUGGUGUGGGCGGAAUUGACCCCGCCCGUGCCGGAGCUAACGCGUUAAGUGCACCGCCUGGGGAGUACGGCCGCAAGGCUAAAACUCAAAGAAAUUGACGGGGGCCCGCACAAGCGGAGGAGCAUGUGGCUUAAUUCGAUGCAACGCGAAGGACCUUACCAGGGCUUGACAUGUAGCUGCACGCCCCGUGAAAGCGGGGAAGCCUUCGAGGGUGCUACACAGGUGCUGCAUGGCUGUCGUCAGUUCGUGCCGUGAGGUGUUUGGUUAAGUCCAGUAACGAACGCAACCCCUGUGUUUAGUUGCCACCGCAGGUGAUGAGCCUGCGAGCACUCUAAACAGACUGCCUAUGCAAGUAGGAGGAAGGUGGGGAUGACGUCAAGUCAGUAUGGCCCUUACGCCCUGGGCUGCACACGUGCUACAAUGGCCGGUACAGAGGGCUGCAAAACCGCGAGGUUGAGCUAAUCCCCAAAAUCGGCCUCAGUUCGGAUUGGAGUCUGCAACUCGACUCCAUGAAGUUGGAUUCGCUAGUAACGGCGCAUCAGCUACGGCGCCGUGAAUACGUUCCCGGGCCUUGUACACACCGCCCGUCACAUCAUGAAAGCCGUCUACACCCGAAGUCACUGAGCCAACCCGUCAAGGGAGGCAGGUGCCGAAGGUGUGGGUGGUGAUUGG
rnacentral:rRNA from 1 species